rnacentral:rRNA from 1 species
GACGAACGCUGGCGGCGUGCUUAACACAUGCAAGUCGAACGGACAGGCCCUGCUUUUGUGGGGUGCUCGAGUGGCGAACGGGUGAGUAACACGUGAGUAACCUGCCCUUGUCUUUGGGAUAACUUCAGGAAACUGGGGCUAAUACCGGAUAGGAGCUCCUGCUGCAUGGUGGGGGUUGGAAAGUUUCGGCGGUUGGGGAUGGACUCGCGGCUUGUCGGCUUGUUGGUGGGGUAGUGGCGUACCGAGGGUUUGACGGGUAGCCGGCCUGAGAGGGGGGCCGGCCACACUGGAACGGAGACAGGGGCCAGACUCGUAAGUGAGGCAGCCGGCGGGAAUGGGCCGCAAUGGGGGGAAGGCUGACGGAGCAACGGCGCGGGAGUGAUGAGGGUCUGCGGAGGGGAAACCUCUGUUAGUGGGGAAGAACAAAUGUGUAAGUAACUAUGGAGGGCUUGACGGGAACUAAUCAGAAAGCCAGGGCUCACCACGUG